rnacentral:rRNA from 1 species
GACGAACGCUGGCGGCGUGCUUAACACAUGCAAGUCGAACGGAAAGGCCCUGCUUUUGUGGGGUGCUCGAGUGGCGAACGGGUGAGUAACACGUGAGUAACCUGCCCUUGACUUUGGGAUAACUUCAGGAAACUGGGGCUAAUACCGGAUAGGAGCUCCUGCUGCAUGGUGGGGGUUGGAAAGUUUCGGCGGUUGGGGAUGGACUCGCGGCUUAUCAGCUUGUUGGUGGGGUAGUGGCUUACCAAGGCUUUGACGGGUAGCCGGCCUGAGAGGGUGACCGGCCACAUUGGGACUGAGAUACGGCCCAGACGCCUACGGGAGGCAGGAGUGGGGAAUAUUGCACAAUGGGCGGAAGCCUGAUGCAGCAACGCCGCGUGCGGGAUGACGGCCUUCGGGUUGUAAACCGCUUUCGCCUGUGACGAAGCGUGAGUGACGGUAAUGGGUAAAGAAGCACCGGCUAACUACGU